UUUUAUUCGAUAAAUAUAAUUUUUUACAAUGCAGUAAAAAUACUAUUAUGAAAUAUGUAGCAAAUGUGUAUUACGAAAUUUUAUCAAGCAAGAGUUACAAGAAUUUUAUUUUUUACUGGAGUUUCUCAUCUUGAACUACUGAAAAUAAUGUAAUAUAUGAUAUUGUGAAUUGAAAUAUUAACUAUAGGAAAAAUGAUAGUAAGGAGUAAAAAUAUUCUUUAUUAAUUUUUUUGGAAGUUAUUAAUUUAAUCUUGAAUAAAGCUUCUAAUAUAAGCUAACUAACUCAUAACUUUUUUAAAAGAGUAAAUAAUGGUUAUGAAAUUUUUAUUCAAAAUGUCAAUAAAUAAAUUAUUUUUAAAAAUGUACCAUUUAAACAAAUUUCUUUACUAACUCAUUAAUUUAUACUAAUCAAAUUAUCUUAAUCAAACAAUAAUCAUAUUUUUUCGCUUUAUAACUAUUAUUAAUGAACUUAAGUCCCUAACAUAUCUGUGUUGAAAAAUUUCAGAAUUUAGACUCCAAACAAAAGAAAAGUGACGUUACUUUGAAAAACGCAACAAAGAGGUUUGGGCAUAUAAAAUUUUCAUGUCUUAUUGUCAUAACAAACGAUUCGUUACAUACACAAUCAAUAUGGACAUGUGUAUGUAUUAAAAUCGUCAUGUUAAAACGUCACGAAAUCUAACUAAUGUAAGUGAAAUUAAUAGGAACAUUUAAUCAGUGAGCAUCGGUUUCCUUAAAUGACUUGUACACCUGUCAAACAUGUAAACUGUGAUCGUAAGUCGUGAGUCAAGUAGCUGUUAUAAGCAAUAUCAUACGAUAAGUAUACUGAAAUCACGUAAGAAAGACAUCUUUUAAUAACUGAAAAAUGGAAAUGAUAAAAAUGACAUGGGUCGUGUGAUUAGGAAUUAUGUUUGGGACAUAAAUAUAUCUGAUAAAUAGAAAAGAUUAACAAUAUGAGUUUCUAUAGAUGUGUUAGUGUGGGGACAAGAUCAAAGCCGUCAACGAUGGUGCCGUUAUGCCGUUAUCGGAAGCGCAUUCCGACGAUUUGGCCUUCGUCCUCACCUCCUCGUACCGACGUUGUUUGGAACGACCACAUCGUCGUUCUGUGUCUUCCGAAGGAAAAAUCGUGUAAAUACCAUCGUAUCACGCGUAGCAUAUGGAUAUAACACGCUUGACCCAUACACUGAGAGAAAGUGUCACAAAACCAUGCCACUGAUUGAACGUUUUCACAAUAAACAAAAUAUAAAUACGAUGAAACUAUAUAGGAUGCAUACGACCACGAGACAUAUCGUGAACUAACAAGUUAGCCGGCAGAGGGCCGCAUUUACCGUUUGCUUUUAUUUGUGUAUGUACAGUAUGGUGCAUGACGAUGUUACGAUUAAGUGGUUGAUCGUAAUUGUAGUGCAUUACAGUUUGACAAUCAAAAAGUAUAUAAUCAUUCUACAUAUCAUUUAUAGGUCAAAUACAUAUGUGCAAUUGAAACAUUAUCAAAAUUAAUAUCACGCAGUAAAGUUAUAUUUUGUAAUAAUUAAGUUAUUCCUAAUUUCAAAUAUAAAUUUUAAGGUUUACCUAUGACAGAUAAUUAAGAAUGCGCAUGCGCAAUUGUACGCGCGUAAUUUAAUGUAACAAGGCGCGUUAUUUCAAAUUUAUUAUAUGUAAUACUGGUUUUAUAUUUGACACUGUAAAAAUACUAUAUUCUUACCUGUUAGUGAAUAUAUGCGCUUCCGGAUGAGAAGGUUGCGACAGUGUCUCUGUCCCGGCAGGAGUACGCAUGGUUGCUUAUUGUUUUGUAUUCCAAUCCUGUAACAUAAUUUAUCAUUUGAUAAAUAAUACAAUUUAUGGAUGUAAACUUCCUUACUAGUAUUAUUUUAAGUAAGAGAACAUUUUUGACGCUUGUUACAUGCACGUGUAUAUCGUCAAAAAAUGUAUUCGUCGCAAUGUUACUUUAUCAAGAGCGAAGAUCAGAGGAAAAAGAGAAAAGACGAAUAAGAAAUCACCUUUAGCAUAACAUGGGGAGGCUGGGUUCAAUGGAAUGCCGAUCUAGUAAGAGGCGUGGUAUGUGGCCGUCACAUACCGAACAACCGUGCUUUUAUUUUUUGUGCAGAUUCUUUAGGUUAAACCUAAUCAUACUUGCAUUUUUAGCCGAUAAUUAAAGAAAUCACGGUUUCUAACAGAAUAUUAGCACGAAAGCAAAAAUAAUGCGACAGAAAACAAGAGGAUUAAUUAAAAAUUCAACUGGUUUUGCAAAAAACGUUUAUCAGAUACUGGUUUAAACACGGAACCCUUUCGCGCUACGAGAAGAAAAAAAAAAGGAUACAGAGUUUUGUAUAGUGAGUCAUUCGUAGGUGUGUCUUGGAUUAAUCCGCAGCACCUGUGCUAGAAUAUAUUUCUAGAGCUGGAACCUUCACAUGAUACAAUGAAGGGGUUUCUGAAAAUUUUGCUAGAGUUAACAGAUCGAUGUUCCAAAAGAGUGAACAUGUUGCACCCCUCGUUUCUUGAACAGACUAUUUCCGUGAGUAAAGUUGGAGAAGAAUGAAUCGUAAUGAGUAGGGUGCUCAUUGUCUAUCCUGAUUUAUCGCUUUGUUGACCAGAAUGCUAUAAUUUCAGGGUAUGAGUGAACAUUACGAUAUGGAUGUUUAAUAUUAUAUUAUAAUAUAUUCAGUAUAUUACAAAGUAAAUUAAAAUAUGGAAUUAUGUGUACAUGACUAAUGUUAUAGCGGCAAAUUUAAUAAGUUAACAGAAUAUAUUACGUCAGCUUCAAACCUUUACAUUUUCGUUACAUAUACAUGUGUGUGUGACUUUGUUGCAUUGAGAAGAGUUCCAUCGUAAGUUUUAUAGAACAAUCUAAAAAUACUUCCAAUAUCGAGAUCGCGAAACAAAAGAGAGGAGUUUGAUAGAAAACUUAAAUACGAUAAGAAAUAGAAAUGGUUUAUUACAUAUAACGUAACGAACAAAUUCUGUUAAUACAUUGAAAAAGGGAUGAAAUACAUAUUAAUGCUUCCAUCAUUGCAUUCGUUAACAUCUUUUUACGAAUACACCUCCGCAUCCUUCAACGGAGGUGGAAGAAAUUUCAGUUUUGUUGUUGUCUGAAACGCACAAAAUGCAAUGUAUGCGAUAGAAAUGAUCACGUGGAAAAAUAUCCAUGAAAUAUUUUAAGUAGAUCAUCACUAGGAUAAAUUGGGAUUUUUUAAAAAUUUAUUGAUUACAUAAAAAAUGAAUGAGUGCUAUAUGAUCUAGUACGGAAAGUGUAUCAAAUAGUCUUAAUUCAUCGUUUAUAUAUUGCAUCAUUACUAUCAAAAAUGAAAUUCGAUGUGUUUAUUAUGUAUACGUGUUAAAUAUUUCAUUAGAGCAACGUGUAUAGUAUUGGUGCACAUCCUAGCGUUGAAAUCACCCGAUAAAUUGAGUGAUCGCGAUGCUGUUUAUAGCAUCAGUGAUCGGUACACAUAUUGCUUUAAUACGGUUCUAACUAGACAAUAUUUUGAUAAUAUUUCAAGAAAAUGAACUUCACUACUUAUUUUUUAAACACAAGUGAAAUGAAAUUCAGUGUAAUCUACCUGUUCAAGGACACGUAGUACAAUGUAAUAAAAGAAAUAUGUCACAAGAACUUAAUAUUAACUUUAUAUACUAAUAUCUUAUAUAAUGUUUAUUGAAACAUCUUUGAUAUUAUUGCCUUUAUUCGGCUCAAAAACACAAAAAGUACACGUGUGCAUUGCAUAUUAAGAAAAGAAGCUUUUUCAGAAAUUAUAAUAUACUCGAAGAAUAAAUAACAGGCAGUUUUUCAUUUUAUAUACCAGUACUCAUCAUUUUCAACAUUUUACUGGUCUUAAAGAAAACCGAACCUUAUUAAUAUAUAAGAUAAAAAUCCUUUUAUUUUAAUAUGCACGGAUUAAUUCCAAGAACCUGCUUUUACACCGAGCAUCCUUUCUCAUUCAUCGCCUUUCUUUAAAAGCGUUCUUUUCUCAUUCAUACGAAAGUAAUGGACGCUUUUACUGAAGAAGUAAUAAGAGUACGAUUCAAAGUGCCGACAACUUGGGCCAAAUGACGCUUCAAUGUUUGAGACGAGACGCACGAAACGUGCACCGCUGCGACGCGACGGACGGAACGAGAUUCGUGCUCAGUGCAGAACGAUCGGGAACGUGAGCUUUCACUUUCCUCGAGCGGCUUGCACAAGCGAGACACUACCGUGGUCAGGGCGCACGACAUUUGGUACGAAAAACUCGUCGAACCAUGAAGCGUCGGAUAUUCAAACAACGACG